AAUAUUGGACAAUGGGGGCAACGCUUAUCCCGCCAUGCCGCGGGUGUGAAGAAGGUCNNNGGAUUNUGAAGCACUUUAAGUCGNGAGNACGGGCUUUAGGCUAAUACCCUGAAGUUUUGACGUUACGAACAGAAUCAGCACCGGCUAACUCUGUCCCAGCAGCCGCGGUAAUACAGAGGGUGCAAGCGUUAAUCGGAAUUACUGGGCGUAAAGCGCGCGUAGGUGGUUCAGUAAGAUGGGUGUGAAAUCCCCGGGCUUAACCUGGGAACUGCUUUCAUAACUGCUGAGCUAGAGUACGGUAGAGGGUAGUGGAAUUUCCUGUGUAGCGGUGAAAUGCGUAGAUAUAGGAAGGAACACCAGUGGCGAAGGCGACUACCUGGACUGAUACUGACACUGAGGUGCGAAAGCGUGGGGAGCAAACA
rnacentral:rRNA from 1 species